rnacentral:rRNA from 1 species
UACGUAGGGGGCAAGCGUUGUCCGGAAUUACUGGGCGUAAAGGGCUCGUAGGCGGCCAACUAAGUCAGACGUGAAAUCCCUCGGCUUAACCGGGGAACUGCAUCUGAUACUGGAUGGCUUGAGUUCGGGAGAGGGAUGCGGAAUUCCAGGUGUAGCGGUGAAAUGCGUAGAUAUCUGGAGGAACACCGGUGGCGAAGGCGGCAUCCUGGACCGACACUGACGCUGAGGAGCGAAAGCCAGGGGAGCAAACGGG